GGUUAAGUCAAGCACAAUUUGCAUGUGCUUACAGAGAAAUAGAUUAAAGGAAGAAAGAUCCAACGUGAGUAAUUCUACAGGAAAUAUCUUAUCCAAAAUGAAGGUAGUUGAUUGGAGAUAACUUCUGGAAGUAAUGAGCCAGUUGUUCAAGAUGUACUAGCUCAUUUAUGACCCCAGCCUGUGUGGUUUGACAGGAAUGACUCCACCUACAGUCCAUCCAAGGUGGACAAAACCCAGCAGAGAAUGCAACCAACACAGGGAACACAGACAAAGAAGAAGAGAAGGAAGACCAAGCCUCACAUCAUCGUUGGAGCCCUGGAUUCAGCAAUGACCCAGGCUGGUUCUCACUCCUGGACAGUUCAACUUCCU
rnacentral:lncRNA from 1 species